UACUGUUUAUGAUGAAUGGUUUUUUAAACAAUGGGAAUCUCUCUGAAAAAGAGUGAAAGAAACCUUUCUACUGAAACAGUG
ensembl:snoRNA SNORD79 Small nucleolar RNA SNORD79